UGCCCCAGAAAUGGGCAAAGAGACACCUUGUUGGUGGAAUUGAUCUUCUAUCAGUUAGAGACAUAACAGAUGACAGUUCUUUCAUCCUAGCUUGAUGCCUGACUUGGUGGCCAAAACUGCCUUAUAUCUAAGGCUCAUAA